rnacentral:lncRNA from 1 species
UAUAUCUUUAUUAAAUAAUCGGAGUUUCUUUACAAAAUAACUAAAUAAGAUACACCACAUGUUAACGACGAUCCUCCACACCAACAUAGUUGACUGGGAGACGACGGCCUAGACCUCUCCGAACUCAUCUUCAUCAUGAUCCUCCUCUUCUGGAUGCACCUGUUCUUAACCUGGUGUGAUUAUAGCAAGGGUGAGCUCCCAUACGGUCAUCGCUCAGCAAGUGUGGGGAAUAAUGUGUAUGAGCUCACUUACGGUGGGGGCUCAUGUGUAGUAUAAGGCUGAUCAACAAAAAAUGGUUAAGGCUGAGCAUUGCUUUUAAUAAGUUGGUCAAAAUUUUAUUAGCGGUUACCAAGUAUAAGUGUAUACCAACCUAAUUAAAUAAUUGAUCAUAAUGAAUAAUAAAUCUCACAAUGCAAUGCAUGACAUGUUAAGUUUAAUUCCAUAAGUUAAUCAUGCGAGAGUCCUGAGCCGCUCCUGACCGUGAGCACGGCUGAUAUACCAGUUUUACACUCUGCAGAGGUUGCGCAUCUUUACCCACAAGACGUGUUUCCCGUGUAGCCAGGGUUAGCUAGACCCUUAGACACUUUUAAGGUGAAUGGCUAGGGAUCCACUGCGAGGCCUUUACAAAGUUCCACUAGCAUGAGAAAACCCGCUAUGGUUUCAGGACGAAGGAAGCAUAGCGCCUUGUUCCACGGUCUGUAACCCCAUCGCAGUAAUUACAGCCAGCACUAUACUCUGCAGCGACGCCUCCCCGCUUGCCCCUUUCGAGAAAGGAUUAUCCCACACUAGCUUUCCUAAUUAAUUAGCCAAGGGCGUCCCAUUAAACCCUUGUGGUAGCACUGUUUUCUCAGGUUAAGCUCCAUGUUCCAAUUAAACAUUGUGAUCUUAUUAUGCACAAUAAUAAAUAAUCCUGCAAUAUAUCAUAAUGAAACAUGAUCAUAAUUCAUAAGUAUUAUUAAUCCCAAAACCAGGUAGAGCAAUAACAAGACUACCCAAUAAUUCAUUUGUAUGCAAAGUGUAGGGUAAACAAAACUAGGUAACCUAUUAGGUCCCAUCAGCUUAACCUAACAGUGCAGCAGUGAGAAUAGAUUCAUAAAUAUUAUUAGGUCAAAGAAUGUGAUCAAGGACACAACUUGCCUUUUUGGUGCAAAUCCAGGAACUUCUCCAAUUUGAUCUUCGGGUUCCUCGUAACCUCGCUUCUAUUCGCAGCAAAACAUAUAUAUAGGCAAACAAUGAAUAAAAAUAACAUUACACCAAACAUGUAAACAAACUACGUAGGAAUAUUCUACGCGUCGCUACAAGAUCGUAGGUUCAAGAACCACUAAAAACGGAAUUAAAACGAAUAAGAUAUGAAUUUUCUAAGAUUCUGGAAUUAUUUUUGUACUAGAAAUUCAUUUUAGAUUUAAUUUCUGUAAUUUUCUAAUCCUGUGGAUAGCGGGUAUCAUUUUUAAAGAGUUCGGGGUUAAUUCCAAAAGAAUCAGGACCUAACCGUAAAUACUUUUGCAUACUACCGGACUGUGGGUUUAUUCCUGAGAAACUAAGGGUCUCUUAUGCAAAACGCCACAGCCGAAAGGGGUAUUAGCGCACGCGAGCCAUCCGAUCCUGAAACGGCGUCCAAGAUUAGAUCGGAUACCCGUAUGAACCGGUACAAAAUGGAGACCAUCGGAUCACAGAUCCACGGCUACUGAGACGCCCACGUCCAGAUCAAUCUCGAGCCGCACGAUACGUGCUCGACGGCUCGGAUUUUAAGUUUCGAAAGGGUAUCGGCCAGAUCUAAUCCGAACCGCUUGUUAGCCGAUCAACGGCCACGGCCGUCCUCCCUCAUCCAAGCUCCCCCAGGCGGUGGCGCUGGCUCUCCCGCGGCGGCGCUAUUGCCGGCGAGGCAGCGCCCUGGCACCCCAGUUCUUCUCUAGCUACACCGAAUGGCUCUACUCGAGGUAUAGGACAAGGCAAACAAGAGAGGGGAGUCUCACCGAGGGUGGCGGUGGACGCAGUGCUGUCCACGGUGCGACGCAGAUCUUCCGUUGAGUUUGUAUUCCGGCGAGCAAUCGCCAGUGACCUGAGGCCCUAUCUCGCCCACCAACGCCACGGAAAGUUUGCACGCGCACCGGCGAUCAUCCUCGACCACACCAUACGCACAGAACGACGAUGGAGGAGCGGGACCACGGCGGCGCCAUCUCUUAUCCCUCCUCUCUCGGCUCCGAUCUCUCUCUCUCGCUUGCUGCGCCCUAGGAUACACUGGGUAUUGUCACGAGUUGGUGGAGGGGGCUGCUCCAGGGUUCUCCAUAUAUACCCAUGGUCCAUGGGCGAAUCCUUCAGUUACGAUUCGAUCGGUAGAGAAGCUUGCAGACUCCGUUCAUAACGAACACGCGGAGGAUACGAGGUCGACGGCCGACCCGACAGCAUGGCCCCACAUGGCGGUGGUUGAACGACACAUGGCGCUGGCCGGUGGUCCCCAUGAGUCAAUCUCACACGGUGAGAUCGAGCGCUUCGCGGGACGCGCUCCUGAGGUUGGUACACGGCGUGGAGCGAGGCUGAGCAGCAGGGACCACAGGUCAGUGGCCAAAUAAACGCGCGCGCAAGGUUGGCUGGGCCAGGAGGCUGAAGGGGAAAUGGUGUUGGGCUGGCGACGGUUUCGGCCCAGGCUAAGGAGAGCUUCUCUAUUCUUUUUUUUUUUUCUAUUUCUUUGUUUUCUCUUUCCAUUUUGGUUUACAAAUUUUCAAUUUCGAAUUUAAGUCAAAGUCUCACAUCAAAUUAAAUGCAUCAAUCAAAAGUAAAACUCCAGCAUGGAUGCAAGGUAAAUUUUAUUAUUUACUUUAUUUAUUAGAGUAAAUGCUUCAAUUUAUGCAAGGCACACAUUAUUUACUAUAAGAGAAAUAAUUCCUUAUCCUCUAUAUUUAUUCAUAGAAUUUUGGGUAUUACAAAUCCUACCCCCCUUAAAAAUAAUCUCGUCCUCGAGAUUACUAAGAAAAUGGAUGCAGUUAGUUCGGUUUGCUUUUUUUUAUGCUUUUAGUUUCUAAUUGGUUCUAAUACCAUUUUUUUGUUCAAAGUCUUUAGUGGGUAUCUUCUAUGUCUGACCACCAAAGAGGCAGGAAGAGAUGGUUAGAGCAAGGGUAGGUUGGGGUAAGAAAGGUUUAGGCAAAGAAAGACUACAUUCCAGAUGAUGGAUCUUGACUUGGCUGAAGAUCUGGUCUGACUCUUAUCCUUCGUUGACGAGGUUGGUCUUCUCUUCUCGGGUCUUGGUGUCUCCAUCCGAGCUAGGGACAUAUGGCUAAGAUAUCUGUGAGUAGGAUAGACUACAUUAAGUAGGUCGAGAUCUGGUUUGAUGUCAGGUUGGAAUGGAUGGUCAUCAUGAACAUGUUGGUUAGGUCGUUUGUUCAUGGCCGAGUUGGUCUAAGGCACCAAUUUAGGUUUAAGUGAAUUAGGCGAGAAAAGAGUUUCUAGGUGUAGAUUUUAAUCUAUUAACCAAUUUGGGUUAAUUCGCUCUACCCUUUAGAUCGGUGCAAGAAAUAUGAGCCAAUUAGACUAGGUCUUAUUAGAUUAGAUCUGAUUAGUUUUGAUUAGAUCAGACUAGUAUUAGGCAAGAUUAGAUUUAUCCACAUUAGUUUAGACUAUAUUACAUUAGGUUUAGAUGGGAUCUAGAUUAGAAUGGAUUAGGUCAUGGUUGUUACUCUAGGGUAGGAUAAGUAUGCUUAUCAGGAGAAGAUGAAUACAUUAGGAUAAGAUAGAAUCUUUUUAAGAUGAGAUGAACCUAUUAAGCUAGAUAUAUAUUUUAAUGGGGGAUAAUCUAGGUUGUCUAGUUAUCUUAUAAACAUAUUUUAUGCCUAUAUACGCAGAUGCAGUUGCGGACAUUACUCCACAACUCAUCUCACUCAAUCAAAGAACCAAAUCAAAGCAUUUAGCAUAAUGACAAGCAUUCAAGCGCAUAAAUAACUAUAAAAAUAGUUUUUUUUAAUUCCUAGGAUUAGGUGUCCUAUUCCUAAGGAUCACUUUAGGUAUAGGAUUCCAAGGUGUGAAAUCCUUUUUGUCUUUAGAGUGGAAAAGGUAAGAGUAGUCAGAGUAAAGCAGCAAUAGAUGAGAAAAGAUCAAGGAAAGUUUAGAAAGAAUCGGAGUAAAGGUAAGUAGGUAAAGGUUUUGUCCAGGUCUAUCUAGGUUACGUCCUACAGUCAAUAUUGCUCCGAUACCACUUCUGUCACACCCGGAUUUAAGGGCAAACCCGGGCACGUCUCAGAUGUGUGCUAGGAUCAAGUCUCACACAUAUGAUUACUCAUGGUACAGAAAUCAAUGUCAUAUCUUUAUUAAAUAAUCGGAGUUUCUUUACAAAAUAACUAAAUAAGAUACACCACAUGUUAACGACGAUCCUCCACACCAACAUAGUUGACUGGGAGACGAUGGCCUAGACCUCUCCGAACUCAUCUUCAUCAUGAUCCUCCUCUUCUGGAUGCACCUGUUCUUAACCUGGUGUGAUUAUAGCAAGGGUGAGCUCCCAUACGGUCAUCGCUCAGCAAGUGUGGGGAAUAAUGUGUAUGAGCUCACUUACGGUGGGGGCUCAUGUGUAGUGUAAGGCUGAUCAACAAAAAAUGGUUAAGGCUGAGCAUUGCUUUUAAUAAGUUGGUCAAAAUUUUAUUAGCGGUUACCAAGUAUAAGUGUAUACCAACCCAAUUAAAUAAUUGAUCAUAAUGAAUAAUAAAUCCCACAAUGCAAUGCAUGACAUGUUAAGUUUAAUUCUAUAAGUUAAUCAUGCGAGAGUCCUGAGCCGCUCUUGACCGUGAGCACGGCUGAUAUACCAGUUUUACACUCUGCAGAGGUUGCGCAUCUUUACCCACAAGACGUGUUUCCCGUGUAGCCAGGGUUAGCUAGACCCUUAGACACUUCUAAGGUGAAUGGCUAGGGAUCCACUGCGAGGCCUUUACAAAGUUCCACUAGCAUGAGAAAACCCGAUACGGUUUCAGGACGAAGGAAGCAUAGCGCCUUGUUCCACGGUCUGUAACCCCAUCGCAGUAAUUACAGCCAGCACUAUACUCUGCAGCGACGCCUCCCCGCUUGCCCCUUUCGGGAAAGGAUUACCCACACUAGCUUUCCUAAUUAAUUAGCCAAAGGCAUCCCAUUAAACCCUUGUGGUAGCACUGUUUUCUCAGGUUAAGCUCCAUGUUCCAAUUAAACAUUGUGAUCUUAUUAUGUAUAAUAAUAAAUAAUCCAGCAUUAUAUCAUAAUGAAACAUGAUCAUAAUUCAUAAGUAUUAUUAAUCCCAAAACCAGGUAGAGCAAUAGCAAGACUACCCAAUAAUUCAUUUGUAUGCAAGGUGUAGGGUAAACAAAACUAGGUAACCUAUUAGGUCCGAUCAACUUAACCUAACAGUGCAGCAGUGAGAAUAGAUUCAUAAAUAUUAUUAGGUCAAAGAAUGUGAUCAAGGACACAACUUGCCUUUUUGGUGCAACUCCAGGAACUUCUCCAAUUUGAUCUUCGGGCUCCUCGUAACCUCGCUUCUAUUCGCAGCAAAACAUACAUAUAGGCAAACAAUGAAUAAAAAUAACAUUACACCAAACAUGUAAACAAACUGCGUAGGAAUAUUCUACGCGUCGCUACAAGAUCGUAGGUUUAAGAACCACUAAAAACGGAAUUAAAACGAAUAAGAUAUGAAUUUUCUAAGAUUCUGGAAUUAUUUUUGUACUAGAAAUUCAUUUUAGAUUUAAUUUCUGUAAUUUUCAAAUCCUGUGGAUAGCGGGUAUCAUUUUUAAAGAGUUCGGGGUUAAUUCCAAAAGAAUCAGGACCUAACCGUAAAUACUUUUGCAUACUACUGGACUGCGGGUUUAUUCCUGAGAAACUAAGGGUCUCUUAUGCAAAACGCCACAACCGAAAGGGGUAUUAGCGCACGCGAGCCAUCCGAUCCUGAAACGGCGUCCAAGAUUAGAUUCGAUACCCGUAUGAACCGGUACAAAAUGGAGACCACCGGAUCACAGAUCCACGGCUACUGAGACGCCCAUGUCCAGAUCAAUCUCGAGCCGCACGAUACGUGCUCGACGGCUCGGAUUUUAAGUUCCGAAAGGGUAUCGGCCGGAUCUAAUCCAAACCGCUUGUUAGCCGAUCAACAGCCACGACCGUCCUCCCUCAUCCAAGCUCCCCCAGGCGGUGGCGCUGGCUCUCCCGCGGCGGCGCUAUUGUCGGCGAGGCAGCGCCCCGGCACCCCAGUGCUUCUCUAGCUACACCGAAUGGCUCUACUCGAGGUAUAGGACAAGGCAAACAAGAGAGGGGAGUCUCACCGAGGGUGGCGGUGGACGCAGUGCUGUCCACGGUGCGACGCGGAUCUUCCGUUGAGUUUGUAUUCUGGCGAGCAAUCGCCAGUGACCUGAGGCCCU